AUUGAACGCUGGCGGCAUGCUUUACACAUGCAAGUCGAACGGCAGCGCGGGCUUCGGCCUGGCGGCGAGUGGCGAACGGGUGAGUAAUAUAUCGGAACGUACCCAAGAGUGGGUAUAACGUAGCGAAAGUUACGCUAAUACCGCAUACGAUCUAAGGAUGAAAGCAGGGGAUCGCAAGACCUUGUGCUCCUGGAGCGGCCGAUAUCUGAUUAGCUAGUUGGUGGGGUAAAGGCCCACCAAGGCAACGAUCAGUAGCUGGUCUGAGAGGACGACCAGCCACACUGGAACUGAGACACGGUCCAGACUCCUACGGGAGGCAGCAGUGGGGAAUUUUGGACAAUGGGCGCAAGCCUGAUCCAGCAAUGCCGCGUGAGUGAAGAAGGCCUUCGGGUUGGUUAAAGGACUCUUUUGUUCUAGGAGAAAAGGUUAGUGGCGUAAUAUCCACAACUGCUGACGGUACCUGAAGAAUAAGACACCGGCUAACUACGUAGCCAGCAGCCG
rnacentral:rRNA from 1 species